rnacentral:rRNA from 1 species
UACGUAGGUGGCAAGCGUUGUCCGGAUUUACUGGGCGUAAAGGAUGCGUAGGCGGACAUUUAAGUCAGAUGUGAAAUAUCCGAGCUUAACUUGGGUGCUGCAUUUGAAACUGGGUGUCUAGAGUGCAGGAGAGAGAAGUGGAAUUCCCGGUGUAGUGGUGAAAUGCGUAGAUAUCGGGAGGAACACCAGUGGCGAAGGCGGCGAUCUGGGAAGAUACUGACGCUGAGGUGCGAAAGCGUGGGGAGCAAACAGGG